GCCGGGGUAGCUCAGCCGUGGCCAGAAAACCCUUUUUAAAGGUUAAAGCGUUGGACUCAUAAUCCAAAGGUCGCGGGUUCAAAUCCCGCCCCCGGCA
rnacentral:tRNA from 1 species